AUCCGGCUGACGAGUCCCAAAUAAAACGAAACGCGCGUCCUGGAU
rfam:Schistosoma curassoni strain Dakar, Senegal genome assembly, scaffold: SCTD_contig0003759